rnacentral:rRNA from 1 species
GGGUCAGUAGGUUGGUCGUGCCACCGGUACGUACUGGUCUCACUGAUUCCUCCUUCCUGAAGAACCGUAAUGCCAUUAAUUUGGUGUUGCGGGGAAACAGGACUAUUGCUUUGAAAAAAUUAGAGUGUUUAAAGCAAGCUAACGCUUGAAUACAUUAGCAUGGAAUAAUGAAAUAGGACGAUCGAUCCUAUUUUGUUGGUUUCUAGGAUUGACGUA